rnacentral:lncRNA from 1 species
CCGAUCUGAGGUAAAAUACUAAAAAGUUAAACUUGGUCAACUCUUCCAACUUAAAGCUAAACCAUGAAAUUCAUUCUUUCAAAUUGACUCUGAAUAACCUUACAACCAAAACCGACAACUCACAAAAGUUAUAAUACAUUAUAGGUAGUUACCCAUGCCCUCAAAUUACUAAGCAAAGUGUAAUUGCUCAAAAUAACUAGUGGGGUUGUUACAAUUAAAUAUUAAUACAUUAAUUUACCAUGUUUGUAGACAUGUGAUUUUUGACCCUCCCCAAGACUUUUUAUAUUUUAGCACGUAAAUAUGAAUUUAGUAAUACAGCUAUUUUAAUUUAUUUUGACUCUUUUACUUUAUUUUAUUAUAAGAAAAUAAAAAUUACAAAAAAAAAGUUUCAUUAAUGUGUUGUUGUCAUUUUUAAUCUUGAAAAAUAUCAAAAAAUAGUUUUAUUUUAACGGUCAUUCUUAUUUUAAUAGUUGUUCUAUUAAGUAGGACUAAUUAGUAAAUGAGGUUGUAUGUUAGUUCCGUUCACAAAGUAAAAAUAAAAUUUGGGCUCGAUCAACCCAUUUUUAGGGCUAAUUUUGUAUCUAGCCCAUAAUUUUCAAACUCAUAACUCUUAGGUCGAUAUCCCUAACAUGAUCCUACCCGUAUAUAAUAGUACAUAACACCUAAAAUCCAUCUGCGUGAAAUCUGCCGCAGACCCCAUAACAGUUGCCCAUUCUUCUUCAAAAAUGAAAACACCACCAAAAAGAAAUCUAGCGUCCUAGAAACCCUCCCGCCGUCCACUAUUCUUCUUCGACCAACACACAUAAAAAACAAAUAAAAGAAGGCAACCACCCAUUUCUAUUGGAAAAGGAACCAAAUUCCUAAUACCUGGAGAAAACCAGCGAAAUCUUCCCUAAAAAUUAACCCCAAAAUCAGCCAUAAACAUCCCAUUAUAACCCCAAAAUCUGCUUGUGGGAUUGUGCUGCUCGUAUCUGGGAUGUCCGUGAACCGGGUUUGUUGUCUCCAAAAAAAAAUUCCUUGAUCGAUAUUUUGGUUCAUACAGGUUUUUUAGGAUGCACUUGGUUGACUUUUUCUUUGAAUGAGUACUUGAAAAAAAGAAAUUGUUAAUUUGAGCUGAUUUCAUUUGGUUGAUAAUUCAAAUGAUUGAUUUGUUAUUUGUUUAAAGGCUAGACACCAUAUUUGUGGUUGGUUUGAUUUUCAACUGUAACUGCAAAUGGAAUUAAAGGGUCUAAGUGUUGAAAUGUUUAGGAUCUGGACGAGUUGAAGCAAGUUUACGGCAUGUUUUUAUUUGCUGUUGUGAGCACGUAACUUUUGCUCCAGGUGAAUUAUUCUUACAAAAUUCUUAGAUGUAGGAUUUUUUCUUUAAUUAUUUGAUUUUUAGGAUUAAUUGCAUAAUUUUCAUAUUUAUAUGCAUUUUUGUGUGUAUUUUUAAUCAAUAUAAUUCAUGAAAAAAAUACAAAAAAUAUGUGUUGCAUUUAAGACUUAAUUUUACAUAUUUUCAGAUUAAUUAGUAAUUAGGAUUUUACAAAAAUACAAAAAUCAGAUUUUACAAAAAUACAAAAAUCAAACAAAAAUUUGAUUUAUUUUUGCUUUGUUUAAUUUUUAGCUUUGAAUUUCGUUAGUUUCCUUUAAAUUGGUAUUUAAUUAAUUGUGUUGAUUAUUAAUUAGAGCUUAAUAUAAUUAGGUAGGUUAAUUUAAUUUUUAGGAUUUAUUUUAGUUUUGUUUUUAAUUUUAAUUUUUAGAAAAGAAAAGAAAAUCAAAAAAGAAUUGGGUUUUAAUAAGAGAUGCCCAAAUUCGGGCCAACUUCACCCCAGCCCAAACUUGGGUAACCGAGUUGCAGCCCUUGAGGCCGAGAAGGCACAGCUGUUGGCUUAAGCUAUCCCUCAAGAAUCCACCUCUGCUACUGUCUCCCUCGUUUUUAUGAGCUAUGGGUCCAUUCUGAGGCCCAACAAGAUAUAUACAAGGGUUUGCGGAAGGCGGGGAGCGUUCUUGACACCACUUUUGAAAAUGCUCGGGCGAAGGCAUGCGGGGCUCGUAUUGCCUGCGGUUACAACCCCGCGACACCGAACGCCGGCGAUGGUGCUGAGAUUGAAGAUGGAUUUCAUUUUGAUGUCGACGGUGCUAGAGAGGACAGCUGUGUAGGUGAUGCCAAGUGAUUUUUUUUUGCAGCUUUUGUACUUCAUUUUUUUGUUGUUAUCUAUUUUCAUCUUUUUUUUGGAGCCCGCUUUUGGCCGUUUGUAAGGGCGAAACUGUUGUGCAUGUAUAUCUGAAUAAAGUAGUCGCUUCGCCUUCGGUUACGUACCUUUAGUUUUUUUCUCUCCUCUUUUUUUUUUUAAAAAAGACCUUCGAAAUUCCAGGUAAUAAGUCCCUCAGUUUUAAUUGGGAAUUCGAACGAGGCCGGGUCUUAUUUUGUGAGUUCAAAUGGAGUUACCUUUUUGAGCGAGGUAGAGCUUAGAUUUGCCGACUUGGGCGAAGUCAAUUUUGACUUAUAUAUUCAAGCAAGGUCGAACUUAGAUUUGCCAACUUGGGCGAAGUCAAUUUUGACUUGUAUAUUCGAGCGAGGUCAAAUUUAAUUUGCCAACUUGGGUGAAGUCAAUUUUGACUUGUGUAUUCAAGCAAGGUCGAACUUAGAUUUGCCAACUUGGGCGAAGUUAAUUUUGACUGGUGAGUUUGGCGAUGACAGGGGGUCGUAAGGCUGUAAACUCGUGUGAGGUCGAACUUUGACUCGUUAUGAGUUCGACGGGGUUGAACUUUGAUUUGUUAAUUUGGGUGAGAGAAUGCUUACUUCCAUUUAACAAUGGUAGAUGACCGUAAGGGUGUGAAUUCGAGCGAUGUUAGAAUUAUAACCCGUUGUAAGUUCGAGCGUGGUCGAAUGUUCCCUUUAUUCGGUGAUGGUUGAUGGUGUAAGGGUGUGAAUUCGAGCUAGGUCGAAAUUGUAACCCGUUAUGAGUUCGAGCGAGGUUGAACUUUCCCUUUACUCGGUGUUGGCCGACGGUCGUAAGGGUGUGAAUUCGAGCAAGGUCAAAAUUAUAACCGAUUGUGAGUUCGAGUGAGGUCGGAUUUUCCCUUUAUUCGGUGAUGGGCAAUGGCCAUAAGGGUAGAAUUUGAGCAAGGUCGAAAUUAUAACCCAUUGUAAGUUCGAGCGAGGUCGAACUUUGAUUCACUUGGAGAUGUGCGGGUUUGGUGGGAUGGUGAGAUUUGGUUGUUGCAUUACUUUUACUGGAGAACAUAAUUUGUUGCUGCAUUAUUUAUGCGCGCGCCGGGGUGAGUCCCGAUUUAUUUAAUUUAGCUUUCAUUGGAGAGUACUGUGAGUUGGGGUGAGUCCCUAUUUGUUUGAUUUUGCGUUCAUUGGAAAGUACUAUGCGUCGAGGUGAUUCUCGAUUUAUUUGGUUUUGCGUUAAUUGGAGAGUACGGUGCAUCGGUGCAUAGUUUGUAUACGUCGGUGAGUCCUAGUUUAUCCAGUCCCUUAGUUGCUUGUCCGGGAGAGGCUGUUGACGGGACCGGUGGUGAACUUAUUAUUGGGGCUACUGGGUACCCUGGGACCAUAAAUUUAAACGAAGUUCAGACGUGAUUUGUAGUGUUUAGUCGGUUGAAUUGGUGUAGGAUUGUCAUGGCGAGCGUACGUACAAGCUUUUUGAGUUCUGCCUGUCUCGAAGGGGCUACAUGUUCCAUGGGCUCACGGCUCGGUCCCAGGUUAUGGAAAUUGUUUCUUAAUAAUGUCGGCAUGUUCUGAUCCAUUUCUGUUAUUUGUAAUAAGGUACGGCGUGGAGGGUUUUUCUUGACCAUCGCCUGAUAUGGUGCAUGACGUUUUCCUAAUAUGUAUGGUGGCGUUUGCUCCUUGUUUGCGCACCUGUGAGAAUGUUGCGUUCUUAUUCCAAACGUGAAAACAAAAAUAAUAAGUUAAACUCAAAGUGAAAUUGCCCGUUACCUUGACCUGUCAAGUCGAUGAGGGGAGAAGGGCACUGUAGGGUGAACAUUUUAUCCCGCAAUUACAUGGUAUUUUCAGAUUUAACAGCCUCGUGCUUGGUUUCACCGUUAGUCGCGUAUAGGCUUCUUAUGGGUUGAACUUACCUUGCCCGUCAGGAUCUCGAUCUAGGGUCCCGGUCCGAUCCCAUCCGAUGUUCGUAAAAAUAAGGGUAACACAAGUUAUACUUCGUACAUAAAUUACUCAUUGUGCAUACGGUUACAAACAUAAGGCAGGAUAAGUCAGUUAGUUCAAAGAAUCACACAGUAGGCUAUCAUCCUUCCAUAAGAGGUGAAAGUAUAGAUCAAUAUAUAAUGUUACUGUAGCGAAAAGGAUUGUGAACGUGCUAAAUGUGUAGUGGUCACAAUCCUACUUUGAGCACUCGUACGAUGUGCCAAACCUCUCGGCACAAUGAGACGUGGAUUUUGUGUAGAAAUCAGAUGUAAUUUCGAUUUCAUGCAAAGAUCUGACCCUUAUUUGUUUGGUUAUUCAAAAGCUUGCCUACUACUUUUUCGAGUUGGUGUUUAUACUAAGAUGGCGAGACUAUGACAAUCAGGAAGCGAUAUUUCGACUGGUUUUAGAUGUAGAGGAAACUAAAAUUUUGGCUAAGAAAUUUCUACAACGGUGCUAAAUUAUUUGAUUAAGAAGUGUUAAGCUUUUUGUUAAACUACUUACUAAGAAAAUAGAGAAUAAAUCUUAGCCAAGGAUAAUUAACUCUAGAUCAAAGUGCAUUUAAUAUGAGAAUAAAAUAUAGUAAAGCUCAUGAACUUUUAAGACUUAUAGAAGACAUCGAACAUAAAUGAUAUGCUUACAUUCAUGAUGUAUUAUUCCAUAAUAUAAGGCUAAAGGGGGAAAAGAAGGCAUGCCAUUAAUAGUUGCGAGAUCUGUCUUUAUUGAUUCAAGAAAGAUAGUUAUAAGGAUUUGCCGCCUAGAUCCGAAACUUCUCUUAUUUUUCUCAUGUAUCCUUCUUCGAUUUUCCUGCCUUUCUUUUCUAAAGGAGAGCAACUCCCUUCUUGUUAUCUUCCCUCUAUAUAUAGUAAGUAUUCCCUUUUAUCCAACGGUUCUUAGCCAAAAUACCUUACUCUAUUGAUUGUACGCUGGGUCGUUCCCUUUAAAUGUCACAUACAUAUGCUUUGCCAUACAAGUUUUCUGAUAGUCCGAUCCCGGCAACAACCGAAAUACUCGUUGUUGUGAUGUUUUAUAAUUACGACCACGGCUUAGUCAACCCUUUACCAUUCCUUUUAAUAUUGAUCCACGUAUGAUCAGAUUUCGACCCGUACAUUUACGUUAAGAGGAUGAUUGUUUACUCUACCUAAUUAGAUUGACAUUAGCAGAUCAAGCGCCCUAUCUCAACAUUUGUUUCUUAUUUUUCUCGUUGAAAUCACAUCGGCAGUUUCUUUUUAAGAAUAAUAAUUCUUAUUUCUCUUUGUUACAAUACUCAUUCAUACUAAAGUUUUAUCAUCUCUCCAACUUAAAACCUAAGGUUGUUCUAAUCACAAAAUAUUGAAAUAUAACUCAAUAAUAAGUAGGAAAUUAGAGGCGCAACGAAGAAGAUGAAAAUCUUUCGUUGACUAAUUUUGAAAAUCAAAUUAUAAUUAAUCGCUAAUUUACUUUAAGAUUAUACUAAGAUUCAGAGGUGAAAUUUUUUUUCACAAAUUUGAUUUUUUUCUAAAAAAAAUCAGGAGCGAUAAUCUUAAAUUUUAUGUAGAAGAUAAUAUAAUUAAGAAUAUUGCAAUCAGUAAGCACAUUAAUCUUAAACCCAACUGGAAAAGAGCAGGAGAGAGUCAUAUAAAAAUCACAAUAAAUUUGCUGUAACAAGAGGCUAGCUUAUUGUGAAAUACUGUUAUCAAGAAAUAGAAAAUAUAACUAAAUAACCGAAGCCAAUUGUUUUCUAAAUUUUCCAUGUAUAACACACACACAAAAAUCUUUAAAUGUGACUUUUUCAAAGCAGUAGCCACGCACACCAAAUUUCAAAUAUUUCACAGGUACACGAAUGGGUUUGAAAAAUCUUUGUUUCACCAAUUUAGACGUAUAGUAACCUUUGAUUUUUCUAGCACAUAAUAGACUGCGUAUUGUCUAUUUAACUAAAAAAGUAAAAUCCACUUUACCCCUUUAAUCUUUAAAGAUUGGAAAAUAAUACCCUCCUCAAAUUUUGGAAGGGAGAAACCCCCCUUUAUGCAGUAAUUUUUUUUUGUAAAGUUUCUUUUUUAAAUAAUGAUAUAUUCUCUCUAUAUAUAUAAAAUCCAAACCAGUACUUGAAUUCGUCUUUUUUUCUUGUAAAAUCUAAGACAUUUUUAAUUACAUUGAUGUUAUAUUGUAGAGGUGCACCCCUCAUAUGAUGGGGACAAUCCCUCAUUAUAUGCCUAUCAUCACACUGGAAGCAACCCCUCCAUGGGUGUGGCUGCUGGAACUGUGUCUAACUCGGUCAGAUAAAAUGAUCGUUAUAGGUCUACCGUACAGGAGGUACAACAGAAGUGGCAGUGCAAAAUGGACGUUUUGAGGCCCAUGAAUGGCCAGUGCACUAUGAGUAGCUUGAAGUGCAUAAUGAACUGGUCGACUGAUAUAGCCUCUGUCCAGACGAGCUAAAACUGCAAAGCGGGAACCACCAAAACCUUCAAAAUCCCGAGGCUUUUGGCCUCCUUCUCCUAGUUGUGUAUAUGCUCCAACCUCCAAGCGAUCUCCACAGGCUGGUAAAAUGGAGUAUCAGCCUCCAACUCCCGUUCCAUACCGAACCUAAGACCAUAACUUAUCCCCUCAAUAAAUAUGUGAACUCGCUCUCUGACUGUAGAAAUCAAAGCGGGUGCAUGAUGAGAUAUCUCAAUAAACCUUAUGCCAUACUCGGACACACUCAUAGUCCCUUAUGCAACUGCUCGAAUUCUAUGCACAACGCAUUCCUAGGGGUCUAUGGAAAAGAGUCCAAAAAAAUAGAUUAAAACGUUGAGCCCAAGUGAGUGGCACUGAAUUAGCUAGUCUACCCUCCUCUGCCACCAUUUAUAUGUCGACCCCUGCCAGCUGAAAGGUACUAAAGUCAAUCUCCCUCACUGUGAGUACCGUAUUUUUGCCCUAAUGUAAAUUACUCCAAAAUAUAUUUCAAAAUAGUUUUUUAAUUAUUACAUAGAAUUGUAGAAAUUUUUCUUUACUUUUAUCUAAUUUGUUUUGCAUUUAUUUGCAUUGUUCAUGCAUAUUUUGAAGUGUUUUAAACCAAAAAAAUCAUAAGAAAAUGUUUAUUUUUUUCAUCUCAUAGCGUUUUAGACCUUAAUUGAAUUUAUAAUUUAAUUACAUUAAUAAAAUGCAUUAUCAAACGAAAAUCACAAAAAUACAAGUCACUUUUAUAGUUUUAGCUUUUAGUUUUAAAUUAGUAAUUUUAUUUCAUUAGUUUUAAGUUGAUCAAUUAGCUAAAUGUUAGAAAUAGAUGUUAGGUUUAAUCCCAUAAAUUAUAUUUGAUCUAUAAAUUAAAUUAGGUGCUUAAUUAUUUCGAUUAGAAUUUUUAAUACAAAGGAAAAAAAAUAAAGAAAAGAAAUAAAUAGCUUGUUUGGUCUUACUUAAAAUUGGGCCACUAAUUGGCCCAAUUGCCAAUUCUCACACGGGGAAUCACUAGCUAUAUCCAUUUAUAAGUAGUUCAUUGUAAAAAUUGGUCAAUUGAUAAAAUAUUAUUAAUAUUAACCAAAUUAGCCAAUUAGCUAUUUGUAGCAAAAAAAAUCAAAUUUUUCUUUGUUUUGAGUGGGUGUUAUUAUAAUAGAUUGCGCACAACUUAAGAAGUUUGAAUAUCAGUUUUGGGAUAAUUUGAUAAAUUUUUGAGGUGGUUUGAAUUGAAAAUUCGAAGUAAAAGCUAAACAUGAAAAAAAUGAUAUGUGUAUCACAUUGUGUAUCAUUUAUGUAUCACACAUAUAUAAAUUGUGUAUCACAUGUAUAUCCAUCUAUACUUGUGUUUGAGAUACGUAUCACAUGUAUAUCCAUCUAUACUUGUGUGUGAGAUACAUGCCUGAUACAUGUUUGGUACAUGUAUCGUAGAGGACUUUUUCAAACUCGAUUUAAUUAUGAAUUUUGAUACAAAACCAGUCUAAAUCACCUCAAAUCUUCCUUAAAUUUUGUAUAUUGACUUAUCUAUAUAUUUUCAAUGAAUUUCAUCUAUACCCAUUGAAAAAAUUUCAUUUUUGUUUAGAUUUUUGGAAUUUUGUAUAGACUUUUUAUAUUUCAUCACCUUAUUUGCUACCACGUCUAUAAAAUUUCCUUUUCAUGAUUUUGCAUGUGAUUCUUUGAUAGAAAGAACCCUAUUAUUUAGUUUUUUAAUUUUUAUUGACUAAUUUUAAUAAGUCUAUAACUAAUAACUAAAAAUUAAUAAAUUAAAAUUUAUUUGAGAGAUUUGUCCCUUCUCACCUCAAACCUGUCCAAGCCCAUUACCAGCCGGUCCAAUAUCCUCUCUAAAAUACAUCCUAACUCUACACUCCUCACACACACAGAGCCGAGAGAGUAGAGACAGAACGGAUGCCCCCUGGAGGACUAGAGCUAGCCGCCUCUGUUUGUUCAUCUUCUCAAAACAGGAACACCAGAGAACGCCCCCCCCCCCCCUCAUUGGAAGAACCUUACUACCUUAUCUUCUCAUCUUCGAAGCUGAUUUUCUGCAAUUGGGGGCCUUGUCGGACUUCUGCUGUUGCAUUGCUAGGAUUGUUUGACAGAGUUCCAUCCUCCAAUUAUAGCUGUUUCUGCCUUUAUUUGGCUGGUUCUAUUUCAAUUUCUGCCGUUUAGGUACUUUCUCUUCCCAGAUUUGGUGUAAUUACUGUUUUUGAUGUAAAUUUAUCACGAAUCUGUAAUGUUUGUCUGCAUAUUCUAUUUGUUCGAUUUGGUUCUUUACUUGAAGAUUUAAAUUGAUAUUUCUAAAAUGAACUAAAUCAGACAAUGCGUUUCUACCAUAUCCCUAGGCAAGCUUUAAUGUGUUAGCUUUGGUAAAUAUAAGAAUUUGAUGUGAAUUUGGGGAGUAACAGAGUGCGCUCCUAUUUUUCUUAUAUCCAGUUGUUCAACGGAAACUAAAUGCUUGUAUUUCUACCCAUCUGAUGAAGUGAUUUAUCUUUCAACUAUGGC